GACGAACGCUGGCGGCGUGCUUAACACAUGCAAGUCGAACGGAAAGGCCCUGCUUUUGUGGGGUGCUCGAGUGGCGAACGGGUGAGUAACACGUGAGUAACCUGCCCUUGACUUUGGGAUAACUUCAGGGAACUGGGGCUAAUACCGGAUAGGAGCUCCUGCUGCAUGGUGGGGGUUGGAAAGUUUCGGCGGUUGGGGAUGGACUCGCGGCUUAUCAGCUUGUUGGUGGGGUAGUUGCUUACCAAGGCUUUGACGGGUAGCCGGCCUGAGAGGGUGACCGGCCACAUUGGGACUGAGAUACGGCCCAGACUCCUACGGGAGGCAGCAGUGGGGAAUAUUGCACAAUGGGCGGAAGCCUGAUGCAGCAACGCCGCGUGCGGGAUGACGGCCUUCGGGUUGUAAACCGCUUUCGCCUGUGACGAAGCGUGAGUGACGGUAAUGGGUAAAGAAGCACCGGCUAACUACGUG
rnacentral:rRNA from 1 species